rnacentral:rRNA from 1 species
UACGUAGGGGGCGAGCGUUGUCCGAAGUUACUGGGCGUAAAGGGCGCGUAGGCGGCCUUCUAAGUCGAACGUGAAAUCCCCGGGCUCAACCCGGGAACUGCGUCCGAUACUGGGAGGCUUGAAUCCGGGAGAGGGAUGUGGAAUUCCAGGUGUAGCGGUGAAAUGCGUAGAUAUCUGGAGGAACACCGGUGGCGAAGGCGGCAUCCUGGACCGGUAUUGACGCUGAGGCGCGAAAGCCAGGGGAGCAAACGGG